rnacentral:rRNA from 1 species
CCUACGGGAGGCAGCAGUGGGGAAUAUUGGACAAUGGGGGCAACCCUGAUCCAGCCAUGCCGCGUGUGUGAAGAAGGCCCUCGGGUUGUAAAGCACUUUCAGUGAGGAAGAACGCCUGGUGGUUAAUACCCAUCAGGAAAGACAUCACUCACAGAAGAAGGACCGGCUAACUCCGUGCCAGCAGCCGCGGUAAUACGGAGGGUGCGAGCGUUAAUCGGAAUUACUGGGCGUAAAGCGCGCGUAGGUGGCUUGAUAAGCCGGUUGUGAAAGCCCCGGGCUCAACCUGGGAACGGCAUCCGGAACUGUCAAGCUAGAGUGCAGGAGAGGAAGGUAGAAUUCCCGGUGUAGCGGUGAAAUGCGUAGAGAUCGGGAGGAAUACCAGUGGCGAAGGCGGCCUUCUGGACUGACACUGACACUGAGGUGCGAAAGCGUGGGUAGCAAACAGGAUAAGAUACCCGUGUAGUC